GGGUUGUGAGGUUAAGCGACUAAGCGUACACGGUGGAUGCCCUGGCAGUCAGAGGCGAUGAAGGACGUGCUAAUCUGCGAUAAGCGUCGGUGAGGUGAUAUGAACCGUUAUAACCGGCGAUUUCCGAAUGGGGAAACCCAGUGUGUUUCGACACACUAUCAUUAACUGAAUCCAUAGGUUAAUGAGGCGAACCGGGGGAACUGAAACAUCUAAGUACCCCGAGGAAAAGAAAUCAACCGAGAUUCCCCCAGUAGCGGCGAGCGAACGGGGAGGAGCCCAGAGCCUGAAUCAGUGUGUGUGUUAGUGGAAGCGUCUGGAAAGGCGCGCGAUACAGGGUGACAGCCCCGUACACAAAAAUGCACAUACUGUGAGCUCGAUGAGUAGGGCGGGACACGUGGUAUCCUGUCUGAAUAUGGGGGGACCAUCCUCCAAGGCUAAAUACUCCUGACUGACCGAUAGUGAACCAGUACCGUGAGGGAAAGGCGAAAAGAACCCCGGCGAGGGGAGUGAAAAAGAACCUGAAACCGUGUACGUACAAGCAGUGGGAGCCUCUUAAUGGGGUGACUGCGUACCUUUUGUAUAAUGGGUCAGCGACUUAUAUUCUGUAGCAAGGUUAACCGAAUAGGGGAGCCGAAGGGAAACCGAGUCUUAACUGGGCGUUAAGUUGCAGGGUAUAGACCCGAAACCCGGUGAUCUAGCCAUGGGCAGGUUGAAGGUUGGGUAACACUAACUGGAGGACCGAACCGACUAAUGUUGAAAAAUUAGCGGAUGACUUGUGGCUGGGGGUGAAAGGCCAAUCAAACCGGGAGAUAGCUGGUUCUCCCCGAAAGCUAUUUAGGUAGCGCCUCGUGAAUUCAUCUCCGGGGGUAGAGCACUGUUUCGGCAAGGGGGUCAUCCCGACUUACCAACCCGAUGCAAACUGCGAAUACCGGAGAAUGUUAUCACGGGAGACACACGGCGGGUGCUAACGUCCGUCGUGAAGAGGGAAACAACCCAGACCGCCAGCUAAGGUCCCAAAGUCAUGGUUAAGUGGGAAACGAUGUGGGAAGGCCCAGACAGCCAGGAUGUUGGCUUAGAAGCAGCCAUCAUUUAAAGAAAGCGUAAUAGCUCACUGGUCGAGUCGGCCUGCGCGGAAGAUGUAACGGGGCUAAACCAUGCACCGAAGCUGCGGCAGCGACACUAUGUGUUGUUGGGUAGGGGAGCGUUCUGUAAGCCUGUGAAGGUGUACUGUGAGGU
rnacentral:rRNA from 1 species